rnacentral:lncRNA from 1 species
CAUAACAUGAUGUUUGGUUGGGGAAUAGGAAUGCAUUCCCCCAAUUCGGUGGGCCCACCACCAAACCAACGUUUGGUUGGCUGUAAUAUCAUUACAGCCUGAAUGCAUUCAGCCCCUAUUACAUGAAAAGGCUGUAAUAGCCAUUCAUUGCCUACAUAUCCGAUUGGCUAUUCCAUCCGGCUCUCUUUUCCCAAUUUUCCAAUUUCUGCCUUCCUUCAUCUUCUCCUUCACUUUCUUGCCAUUUUUCAGAUCUUCCCCUUCAUCUUCUCCCACAGAUCUGUAACUUUCUCUCCUUCUGUUCCCAUAUUUCAGGUAAUUUAUUUUUUCCUUCUUUUUAACGUUUCUCUUUUGUACUUUAGAAACUGAAGCAAAGGCGAAGAAAAUAGAGAAAAAGAUGACAAAAAAAUUUACUGGAAAUGUUAGACAGUGUUUCUUUUCUUUAGUUUACUAGUUUCGAAAUUUUUAACUCUUUGCUUAAAACCCAUUUCUUGGAUUUCGUUGUUUUUUCAGGGUUUCUAAAAAGAAGAAAUUUUCAAGGUAAUAUGCUUUGUACCCUUUUACUUCUACUUCUUGUUUUAAACCCUUUCUUGCAUGUGAUCUUUGCUGAGACAGUUUAUGCAUGUCUAUGGUCUUGCAUUUUCUUUCUCCAUCUUGCCGAAGUAGAGAGUCCCUUGUGUAGUUGACCUUUGUCAAGGUGAGUCUUUUCAUAUUCCAGAUAUAAGAGGAAAAAAUUCAGCCAAUCUCUUUGCUGUUUACCCGGCAUGAUGACUUUGUGAAGUUAAGUGGCUAAAAUUUCUUGUUUUUGGCUGUUGAUUCUCAUCAUUAUGGUUCAGGCUACUAGUUCAUAAACAGAAAAAACAUAAUAUAUAUUUUUAUCAUAAAUGUAGUUUCAUGCAUGAGUAGAUAUUACUGUAAUUGGAAUUUUGAUUUCAUGUACCUGCAUUCUCUCCUUGUUAGCAUCGCGUAUUACUCUUCCCUUGUCCAGUAAUGAUGGAUUAAGCGGAUCUCAGUGAUUCUUAUAUUAAAAGAUGGGAGUUUUGUUAGUUUCUCUGAACUGUUGAUUCUAGUUCUUGGAGUUCGGGAACUCCUAAAUUUCCAUAUUUCCUUUUAUCUGGCUUUGCAAUUGCAUGUAAAUCUGUUGUUGAAGUUUUCAAUUGGAAAUGGUUUCUAUAUUUUUCUUGAAUGAUCUGUUUAUAUUGUGCUCUGGAUUUUUUUUUUAAAAAAAGAAGAAAAAAUUAUCCAAUUUACGUUUAUUAAAGUUAGCAUUGCAAAUUGUCCAUGAAGCAUGGAGUUUAGAGGAUGGAUACUAAAUCACAAGGGCUAGUUUAUUAUUAUUAUUAUUAUUAUUAUUAGUAUUAUUAUUAUUAUUAUUAUUAUUAUUAUUUUCUUGAAGGAAUGUUCGAUUUCAUUCUUGCAUAAACAAGUAAUAGAAUUAAAUGGGGGAAAAUUGAUUCUUCUUGGAGGAUAUGAAAUCCCACCAUGUAAACGUCAUACUUGAGAUAUUUGGGAAAUGAGGGGAAAAAUUAGACACUCUAGGAGACCCUUUAAUAUCAUUAGCGAUAACUUUUCCUUUUUCCCUUGCAUCUUGUGGUCUUUUUUUUUGUAAUAUUAUUCCCCUUAUCAUUAUACUUAUUGGAAGUUAUUACAACAGUUUUAGUGCACUGUCACUGCUCAGACAGACUGUCGAGGGAGCCUUACAUUACAACCUUACAUUAUUGCACUGUCCCCUGCAUCUUGUGGUCAAUUUAACUUUUACUUGUUUUAUAAGAAAGACUCAUUUAGCAACUCAAUAACUAAUCUUCGUGGCUGAUCAUAACAGCCAAUUUCUUCUCAAGUCACUCCCUAAUUUGUGUAUAUCUAAUACACUUGGAACAAGAGAUGAGCUUGGUAGUUUUUGUUGGUUUAUAAGGACAAGGAAAUAAUAAUAGUAUGCUUUUUCUUAGAGAAAUAAUAAUUUGGAUUUUCAUAACAUGUUACUAUAAAUUACAAAAAGAAAAGAAGAUUACAUUAUGAGACAAAUGUACUAAGAUUAUGGCACAUGGAACAUAUAUCUAUGCUGGUGGGAACAUCCUAUCCUAGUCCCUUGUGCAUUUAUGCUAAUGCUAGCAGUAAUGUAAGAGUUUUUCGAGGGAAAUUAAACUCUUGGGUAAACUUGAGAUUUGAGUGCAAUAAAUAAAAACAAAUAUUUUAUCAAUUUUUUAGGCAAAGAUAGAAAAGAUAGUUUGCAUGCUGUCGAGGAAUUUAACUGACCAAAAGAUAGAAUUUUUAGUGAAAUUUCUAGCUGUCAAGGGAGCUGCCGAAGCAUGCAGUUUGCAUGCAUGCUGUCUAAUUUCUUACCAAUUUAGGUGGUCUGAUCGAUGGUUGUUUAUUGUUGUCCAAAUAAUAAUUAAAGAUCAACCAAAUGAUGAGGGAAUUAAAAUGGUCUGAACAAUGUGAAACUAAAUUGUUAAAUAUUAACUAAUGAUGUCCAAAUGGAUAUGAUUUAUGAUGUUAGUAAGCUAAAAAUUUAGGUGUUAAAUGCUGCAAUUUAUGGUGUCUGAAAGUUGUGAUUUAUGAUAUUAAUAAUGAUGUAUUUUAAGUUGUUCGAAUGUGUUAAAGAGUUGAUUUAAUUUAAUGCAUAAUGGUUGUUUACUGUUGUUCAAAGCAUGAUGAAAUAAACAUGUUAGGCGUAGUUUAAUAUAUGCCUUGUUGAGCCGUAAGGUUGUCCAAAACAAGACAAAAUUUAGUUGUCUUUAAGAUGUUCGAAUGUGGUUGUUCGAAUGGUUCUCCAAAUGUGUCUUUAAGGUGCUCGAAAAUGUCAUAUUAAUGUUGUCCAUGUAUGAUUUAAUGUUUUAUCAUUUGGAGCUUUAAUAUUUUAACACAAGUGAUGUUAAUUUCUUGUCUUGAUAACAUCUUUAUUAUUUACUGAUACAGGUGGACAGACAAGUAUCAGGUAACAGACAUAAACAAAUAUCUUCACUGCAAUGAUGAUACCAUUACUCUUUUCUAGUAAUAUGGGAAAGACAAUAUAUACAUGUUAAACUACAUUUACAAUUCGGAUUGGAUCUUUUUACUUUAAACAAGAACAUUUUGGUUAUAUUUAAUUUUCGAUAUGUUUUUAUUUUUGAUAUGUUUCAUUUAAAACUAUUUUAAUCUUUUCAUAUAUUAUUAAACUAUUAUUAUUUUCGAUAUCUUUAAUUUAUGUUAUAUUUAAUUUUGGUCUUCAAACAAUGUUUUAUAUUACUUAUAUUAUUUGAUUAAAAAUUAUAAUUAACACUAUAAAAAUUCUGCUAAGGGUAUUUUAGUCAUUUUAGUUUUUUUUCUUAUACUAUUACAACAUAAGAAUACUAUUACAGUUCUAUUCCAUUCCAUUCAACCAAACAAUUAAAUUACUUAUUACAGUUCUAUUCAAUUACAACUUUAUUUCAUUAUAGUGAACCAAACGUACCCUCAGUAUUUUAUUAAUCUUGGGUUUGUAUAUAUGCCUAGAAAAAUGAUAAAAUCUUUUCAACUAAAUGAUAACGUGUUCAAUAGCUUCUUUUUUUUUUUUUUUCUUAUACUAGUUCCCAUGUGCUUUUAUAUGUUUAUUUUUUAAAUUUAUCAAAUAAUAUAUUUUUAUGAUUUAAAAGAAAAUAUAUUUACUAAUUAGAAGAGAAUUAAUCUAAUUUAUAAUAAAAUUAUAUUUAUUUUAAAAGUAGUGAAAAAUAAAAAGUGAGAAACAAUUAAUAGCAAAAUAUUAAAUAAUUAGAAAAAAUAAUUUGUCUUUUGAAUAGGAGUCGAAUUUUCAUCUACAAAGAACCAUUACUUUAAUACUUUAUUAAAUUUAACAUAAUAUUUCACAACAUUCACAAUUAUGUAAACAUUAUUAAAAUAAAAUAAUAGUAAAAUUAUCAAAUAUCUAAUAAAAAUAACUAAACAUCUCAAAUAAUAAUUAAAAUCAUACUUUUUUUCUUUGUGAUGGAAACAAAACCUACUAAAUAAUUUUAAAAUAUGAUUUUUCUAGUAAUUUUUUAGAUGUUAUUUUGAAUGAAAAUACAUUGCUCAUGCAUAUAUUUAUAGUGCUAAAUAUUAGGCUUAAUUGGUAUAUAAUUGCAACACUAAUUAAAUGAUAAUUAAUCUAAAAUAAUAAAUGUAAUUUAAUAUGAAUCCAAAGCCUAUUUAAGUGAUAUUAAUAAAACAAUUAUAAUUAUAACUAUUUUAUUAAUAAUGUUUCUAUUAAAUCUUGAAUAUAAAAUUACAUUCAUAAUAAAAUAUUAAUAUAAUAAUUAUAAUUAUAAUUUUUUUGUAUUAUAUUUUAUUAUUGAUUUUAUAGAUUUAAAAAAUAUGAGAAACAUAGAUAACACAAAAUACUAAUUCUUAUUAAAAAUUAUUUAAUUAAAUUAUAGAAUAUAUUUAUUUUCUUUCGAGUUUUGAUAUAUUAAUUAAGAAUCAACAUAUUUAUAUUUUUAGACUAGAUUACCAAUAAAUUGAUAUUAUCUUUAUAUAUAUAUAUAAGGUUAAUCUUAUACAUUUAAUUUUUAUUAAUUAAAAUUUAAUAUUUAAAUAAAUUAUAAAAUAUAUUUAUUUUCUUUUGAGUUUUGAUAUAUAAAUUAAGAAUAAAUAAAUAAAGUUAUACAGAUUAGAUUACCAAUAUAUUAACAUUAUCUUUUUAUAUAUAAUGUUAAUCUCACAAAUUUAAUUUUCAUUAUUUAUAGAAUCGAUUUUAAUAUAAUGUUAAUCUCACAAAUUGGUUUUUAAUUAUUUUUAAUUUACCCAAUCAUAUUCUAUGAUUUUAUAGAUUUAUAAUAUUAAUAAUAUAUUAUGUUUUUUUAAAUAGAACUUUUAAAAGAUAUGAUUAAAUUAAUUAAUUUCACAUUAAUAUAUUAUCAUAUUAAUUAAUAUUAAAUUUAUUUUUAUCACAUAAUAAUACUAAAUAAAUGUUAAUUUAAUAAUAUAAUUAAUAAUAAAGGGUAUUAUUAUAGUGGGUCGAAAGUGUUUUUAUAUAUAUAUUAUAUACGUGUGUGAUAUUAGAUUAUAUUAUAACACAUAUAUUAAUUUUCAUAUUAUAAUCUCAUUGUAGGUUAAGUACAUAUUUUAUUCAUCCAAGAAAGGCAAAAUGUUGGUACAAAUUACACUAAUGUCCUACUAGACAGCUACAAACAACGGUAUCAUCUCAGCUAUUUACAAUUAAUUUUCGAUCUCUACAUCUAUGAUCAGAAGUAUUUACUACAAAAAAAAUAUAGAUAAAAGGAAAAAUAUUCUCAUUGUCAAGACCUCAAUAUAUAUACAAGUAAUGUCCCAUAAUUUUUACUAUAAAGGAAAUAUUUUGUAACAAACAAAUGGUGAAUGGUGAAUCAGUUGUGAAUUGAGCUGAGUUGGCCAUUCUAUUUGUUAUUCAUUUCUUCUGAUAUUCCCUCUGCAUUUCCUUGCUGAAAUUCUUCAAGUGCAGUAACAUUCAAUUGAUCUCGAAAUAUGGAAAGUGCGCUUGCUGUUAGUGGCUUUGUUAAAACGCCUGCUACUUGAUCAUGCCCAGGAACAUAGUUCACUUGAAGCUUGCCAUUUAAGACCAUGUCACACAUAAAAUGCAAAACGAGCUCAACAUGUUUGACACGUGCAUGUAAGACCGGGUUUGCAGCCAAGGCUACAGAGCUGGAAUUAUCACACCACACCACUGGAGCCUGUUGUAAAGAGAUUCCUAUCUCACUGAGAAGAGACUGAAACUAAAUUAUCUCUAUAGUAGUAUUUGCAAGGAAUUUGUAUUCAGCCUCAGAUGUGGACCUAGACACAACCCCUUAUUUCGUAGACGACCAUCCAAUCAAGUUGUCACCAAGAUAGAUGCAAAAACCAGAUGUUGACUUGUGGUCUUCAAGUGAGCUUGCCCAAUCCGCAUCAGGGAACCCUGUCAGACGGAUUGCCGAGGGUUGAAAAACUAGACCAUGAUCUAACGUACCUUAAGAUUCUUUUUACUACAGUCCAAUGCACAUCAUAUGGCAAGUUCAUAUAUUGUGAGACUUUAUUCACUGCAAAUGUAAUGUUAGGUUGAGUUAAACAGAUGUAUUGAAGGCCCCCUACAAUCUGCCUAUAUUUGGUCCUAUCUUGGAAGUGUGAACCAACAAGAGAGGACAACAUUGGUGACCUGACCAUUGGCGUAGCAACAAACUUGGCAUUCCACAUCAAGUCCAAGAAUAAAACUAAGCUCUUCUAAGAAAACUGACUAUAGAGAGAUUGAAUAACCGAUUCAAUCGAAGAAUUAAAGUCACCAGUAACUAUGAUAUCAUCGACAUAAACAAGAAGAAACACAUUACUACCAGGUACUUCUUGAAGAACAAUGAAUAAUCAGUCUUGGAAGAUUGAAAUUGCAAGUCCUAAACUAAGAAAUCAUGAAGUUUUUUAAACCAAGCUCUAGGAGCCUGUUUAAGCCCGUACAGAGCCUUGUUAAGUUUACAAGCUAGCAGAUUCCCAUUAGCAUCGGCAACCUCGAACCCUGGUAGUUGUCUCAUGUACACCUCAUCAGCCAAACUCCCAUUCAAGAAUGCAUUGUUGACAUCCAUAUGUCUUAACUUCUACAUAUUAGAAACAACUAAAGAAAGCAUAGUGUGCACUGUGUUAACUUUUAAUAACAGGAAUAAAUGUUUCAUGAUAAUCCAUACCCGCAGCUUGAGAGAAGCCUUGUGCUACGAGGCGUGCCUUGUUUCGAACAACUGAGCUGUCACGAUUCUUUUUAUUUUUGAACAACCACUUACACCCAACAAGGGGGCGAUUUGGAAGAGGGACAACCAAACCCCAUGUUCCAACAAUAUCUUUUCGUAAUGGGAUAGACAUGGAUUCAUGAAUGUUGGAGGGUUCCAUUGUACUAGCAAUCGCAACAUAGGCUUUAGGUUUGAAAAUGCCAUCCUUACUCGUUGUAACCAUAGAAUGGGUGUUGUGAGGAGGAGGUGGAUGAGGAUCAUGCUGUGUAGCACUUGUUGAAGAUUCAGGAGAUAACGCGUUGUUAACAAAAUCAGAUGAGACUGAUGGAAGAAAAGUGUGGAAGCUUUCAUGAGAAGUAGUAGUAGAGAGAAGCAAUGGAGACUCAGGCAAAGUAGAAGAGACCACAACAUGUGGUGGUGAAAGGACAAGUGGUAGUGUACACGUAGAAUCAUUAGUGGUAGAGCUAUUAACUGGAGAGGCUGUAGAUAAAUCAGAACGAUCAACAUGAGGAAACACACCCUCAUCAAACUAUACAUGUCGUAAAAUGAAGCUCCUACCAUGUUUGUCGACACACUUGUACCCUUUGUAACUUGGAGCAUACCACAAGAAUGUGCACGGAGUGGAUCAAAACUGGAGCUUGUGUUUGUUAUAUGGUAUUAGAUGAGGUUAGCAAAGACAGCCAAAUACUUGAGGAAUUUGUAAUCAGGUUGUUGGUUAAACAACUUCUCUGUAGGGGAUAUACCAUGGAGUGCUUUUGUAGGCAGUAAGUUCAUUAAAUAGACAGUAGAAGUGAAAUCAUCAACCUGAUAUGAUAGAGGUAACGAUAUUUGAGCAAGAAGGGCUAAGCUAGUUUCAACUAUCUAUUGGUGGUGCCUUUCAACCAGUCCAUUUGUUUAGAGGUACUUCGACAGGAAACACGAUGUUGAAUGCCAAAAAGUUGGAGAUGAAGGUCAAAACUACAAAAUUCCUCACCUCCAUCACUUUGAAUUUUUUUGAUCUUAGUUCCUAACUACAACUUAACAUUUUGUUUAAAGAGUAAAAAUGCUUAUAAGGUAUUUGACUUGUUCCGGAGAAAGUAUAUCCGUGUAUGUUGAGAGAAACAAUCCACAAAUGAAAUAUAAUAUUUAUAACCAUUAGAAUAACAAUGAGCAGGGCCUCAUUGAUCCAUAACAACUAGUUUACAUGGUGCAGUAUAGACAGGUGUGGAAGACUUAAAUGGCAAUUUGUGAUUCUUGCCAAGUGCACACAUGUUACAAAGUGAAGGAAAUUUGAUUCGUGGAACAAUGAUAUUACAUUAUUGUGACACAUUAGCUAAAAAUUCAGUGGAAGGAUGAUGUUGAUGCCACCGAGUGAGCUGAGUUGUGGUUUCAAGAGUCAUUAACUUGCUAGUAGAUGCGUCAUGGACAGAGGAACUAGAGACAGUGUUAUUGAAAGCAGUGAAUUAUUUUGUGGAAGGUAUGGGUAGCAGUUGAUAUAACACAUUUGACUCAACGCCUUGAAGCAAGAUCUUGUGAGUCACUAGAUCCUUCACAUAGCAACAUGAGGGAUGAAAUUCAAAGAACACAUUAUUAUAUGUUGUAAACUUAGAAACUAACAAAAGAUUUUUGUGUAUUGCAGGAACAUAUAGCAAAUCAAUGAUAGGUAUGUGAAUGGAACCAGAAGAAAUAUACGACUCACCAAUGUGAAAAAUAGAAGCAGAAUUCCCAUUCCCCACAAUCACUUUACCUGAGCCAAUGUAAGGGUUGCAACAGGAAAACUUGAACGGAUCAUUAGUCAUAUGAGUCGUGGCACCACUAUCAGGAUACCAAGUUGCACCGGAGACAACGCCUAUGGUAGUAGGCUUGGAAGCAGUGGAUGAAGAAUCACCUACACAUGAUUGAACAGUAGAGUGGAAAGAGGGCUUGUAAGAUUUAGUAUGAACAAAGUCGGCUUCAGGAUGACAAUGCCCAACAAAACCAUUGUCUAUGUAGCACACGUGGGCUAAACAAGGGCCAAAACUUGUGCGAGUGAUAAAACUAGAAGAAAUUGGUCCAUAGAGCCAGAUCCCAGAGUGAGAAGCAGCACCAAUAGAAUCUUUAUAAGAAUCAUCAUAGCGAUAAAAGCACCAGCGAGCCAUAUGGAAAAUUUUGCCUAUAACACCCCUAACCUGUAUCCAUCUACGGAACAAGGUUAUGGAGCAUUACCGGAGUUUACAGAAUAAAUAUACAAAAAUUUCAAACAUUUCACAUCAUAUAAUAAUCAUAUCAUAAACUAAUCGAAAUCAAACAUAUUAUCCCUUAUAUGAGCCAUCGAGGCCCAAAAUACGCAUUAGAAACAAGUCGGGACUAAAUCGGAUGCAAAAAUAAUUUUUUCAAAAACACUAAAAUUUUUCAAGCUACAAGGGUUACACGGUCAAGAGACAUGCCCAUGUCUUAGGCCGUGUGGGCAUUUGAAAUAGGGACACAUGGCCGUGUCCUAGCCCAUGUUCGUGCCCUUGUAACUCUCUGACUUGGGCCACAUGGCCAAACCACACGCCCGUGUGCUAGGUCGUGUAAGCAUACAGACUUGAACAAUUUAAAAGAUACAGGGGACACACGGUCAUGUCACCUGGCAAACGACUAAGACACACACCCGUGACUCUGCCCGUGUGGACGAAAAUAGGUUAAUUUCCUAGCCACAUUUCUCACCCAAUUUGACAUCAACCUAACCCUACAUUUUUGCACAUCAACAAUCCAUAACAAGGCAUUCAAAACAAGCCAAAAUCAAGUUUUAAACAUGAAAUAUCAUCACAUACAACCAAUAUGCCCUUAGGCACCUCAAAUGACAACUUAAAGGCAUAUCAACCAAGUACCUUAACUUACCUAAAUGACCAAAUUCAUAUAUGCAUAUUCAAGCCACAUUUUAUUUUCUUUCAUUCUACCAUAUCAAUCACACAUCAAACAUGAUAAGGUCACUUAUUAUACAUAUCAAAAUAUACCAAAAACAAGCUAUAUACAUGGUUAGCCUCAACAAAACAUUUAUAUGCCAUCGUUGGCCAAAAUAACCUAUACAUGCCAUUAUAUCCGAGAUUAAUUUACUAAAAGUACCAAAAGGAUUAAUGGAUAGUGUGAAAUAACUACGACCAACUUCCAACCCGAACGAGCUUCCGAAUUACUAUAAAACAUGGAAAAAUAACACAGAGUAAGCAUUUAAGCUUAGUAAGUUCGUAUAACACGAAAUUUAACUUACCAUAUAUCCAUGCCAUAGGUAAGUAAACAUAACAUAUCUCAACCAAUUUGGCCAAAAGCCUAAACACAUGAUCGCUAACAUAUUAGCCUUGAAAAUCACAUAUAAGAUCGAACACACAUGGUUGAAUUCAUCAAAUAAUUACAUUUCAUGUUUUUCCUAUAAAUACCAAUAAUAGUUCAUAUCGAACUGAUAUAAUCUCGUAACAGAACUGUGCCCGUUGAACCAUUUAGAAUAUCGUUGGAUACACGGGUAGUACACACAAGGUGUACUGAACUGUAAUCUGUCAAUUCAUAUACAUGUAUGCUCAUACGAGCUAUAAACAGUAAGCUCUUUCGAGCUGAAUAACGGGAACCUCAUGCGAGCUGAAUAACGGAAAGCUCAUAAGAGUUGAAAUCGGUAACCCUAAUGACAUGUCAUUUGUUUCCUACGGAUUCCUAAGGUUCAAACGGGGCUCGGUAAUUGCCGAAUAUGCAACUGGUAUUUAUUUAUGGAAAUUGUACAAUUCACAAACAAUAAUUCAAUUUAACACAUAUAAAUGUACAAUUUAAUUACACGAACUUACCUUAACGAAUUUACAUAGAUAUGAAGGUGUCUAAUCCGAUAUUUUUCCUAUGCCUCGAUCUAACUCCGUACUAGGUUUAACCGGAUCUAUACAAAUGGAUUUAACUCAAUUCAAUAUAAUUCAUAUUCAAUUUAGUCCAACACACAUUUUUGGCAAAGUUACUAUUUUUCCCUUGUACUUUUAAUCAUUACAAUUUAGUCCCUAAGCUCGAAAAUGUAAUUCACACAAUUUAAUCUUUACUUAAGCCUAGUCGAUUUUUAUACCUAUUAGUAGCAGCCCAUAUAUUUCAUAAAAUCCACAAAUUUCACCAUAAACUUAUCAUCUUUUCAAUUUAAUCCCUAAUUGAUAAUUUCAUCAAAUUUCUCUUUAUAAAAGUUGUUUAUCUAACAACUACCUUUCAUUUUUUAUCAUAAAACUUCAAAAUUCAAGCAUACUCAUGAAUGAAAAAGCCUAAUACUUUAACUUUUUUGUAAAUUAAUCCCCGAACUAGCUAGAUUAAGCUACUACGAUCUCGGAAACAUAAAAAUGAUUAAAAACGGGACAAAAAUACAUACCAAAAUGAGCAAAAUAUGCUUGCUAAUAUUUCAAGCUUCUAUGGCUAGGUUUUCUCUUUUUUAUUUUAUUUUGGUGGUAGAUGAUGAUAAUAGAUGAUAUUUGUUUAUUUUAUUAAUUUAUUAAAAUUUUAAUCACAAAUUUCCAAAAUUAACCAUAAUAUUUCAUUAAAUUUCCAAUGAUGACUAUUCGUACUUAUCCACUAACGACUUUAAUGGUCUCUUUACUAAAUAAGGACCUCUAAUUUAAAAUUCUAUAGCUUUUUAAUACAUUUAGAUAUUAGAACUCAACUUUUGCACUUAAUGCAAUUUAGUCCUUUUUAUCAAAUUAAACAUUUAAACGAUAAAAUUUUUUAAUGAAAUUUUUAUACGGUAUUUCUGUCAACCAUAUAAUAAUAAAAAUAAAUUUUUCUGACUUUGAAUUUGUGGUCCCAAAAUCACUGUUCCGAUUUCACUGAAAACAGGCUGUUACAACUCUCCCCCUAAAUGAAUUUUUGUCCUAAAAAAUCUUACCAAUAAAUAGGUUCGGAUAUUGCUUUCUUAUAAUUUCCUCGGGUUCCCAGGUAGCUUAUUCUAUUCCAUGUCGUUGUGAAAGAACUUUUACUAAAGCUACAUUUUUAUUUCACAAUUCUUUCACCUCUCGUGUUAGAAUUCUAAUCGGUUAUUCACCGUAUGUCAUGUCAGGUUGGAUCUCAACAUCCGUCGGGGAGAUAACAUGUGAAGGGUCAGAUCGGUAUCGUCGUAACGUAUACACAUGAAAGACAUUGUGAAUCUUUUCUAGUUCUAACGGUAAAGCUAAUCGAUAAGCAACAAGUCCGAUUCUCUCAAUAAUCUUAUACGGCCCGGUAAAUUGUGGAUUCAGCUUUCUUUUACGACCGAACCGAAUAACUUUCUUCCAGGGCGAAACUUUCAAAAAUACUUUGUCACCAACUUGAAACUCUAUAUCUUUACGUUUAAGAUCCGCAUAAGACUUCUAACGAUCUGAAGCUGCUUUUAAUAUCUCGAACCGCUUUUACUUUUUCCUCUGUCUCGCGAAUCAAAUCAACCCCAUAUAUAUUUUUCUCACUGAGCUCAGUCCAAUACAAUGGAGUUUGGCAUUUACGACCAUACAAAGCCUCAUACGGUGCCGUUUUUAUGCUUGACUGAAAACUAUUAUUAUACGCGAAUUCGAAUAACGACAAAUAUUUCUCCCAAUUGUCUUUAAACUCUAAAACACAACACCGAAGCAUAUCUUCAAGAAUCUGAAUUACACGCUCGGGCUAACCCUCAGUUUGAGGGUGAAAUGCAAUGCUAAAAGGUAAUCGCGUACCUAGUGCUUCCUAUAACUUUUUCCAGAAUCGUGAUGUGAACCGUGGAUCUCUAUUUGAAAUAAUGGAGAUUGGCACUCUGUGCAACCUGACAAUCUCCGAAACAUAUAACUCUGCUAAUUUGUCAAGUGAGAAAUUUGUACGUACCGAAAUAAAAUGUGCAGACUUCGUCAAAUGAUUGACGAGAACCCAAAUGACAUCUUUCUGUUUCGGAGAUAGGGGUAAUCUCGAUACAAAAUCCAUAGUAUCUCUAUUCUAUUUCCACUUUGGUACCAUCACUGCCUGUAACAGUCCUGAAGGUACCUGAUGUCUAGCUUUAACUUGCUGACAUAUCAAACAUCUAGAUACAAACUCAAAAAUAUCAUGUUUUAUUCCUGGCCACCUGUACGUCUGUCUCAACUCAUUGUACAUUUUAUUACUCUUUGGAUGAACAAACAAGCUACCAUUGUGAGCUUCGUGCAAAAUUUUAUGUAUAAGCUCUGGAUUCUUCGGUACACAAACUCUACCUCUGAAUAACAAACAAUCAUCGAGUCCUAUCUAAAAUUCUGAAUCAGAAGUCGACUCACACUGUACUCAUUUAGCUCGCAACUCAUUACCACAUUUCUGAGCUUCGCAAAUCUGCUGUAAAAAUAUCGGUCUCGCUUUUAACUCAGCUAAGAUCGAGCCAUCAUCAGAUAAUGACAAUCGGGUAUUCAUUGCUCGUAGAACAAACAAGGAUUUUCUACUCAAAGCAUCAACCACUACGUUUAUUUUUCCCGGAUGAUAAUCAAUAACUAACUCAUAAUAUUUCAAUAGUUUGAGCCAUCUACGCUGUCUCAGAUUCAAAUCUUUCAACGACAUUAGAUACUUUAAGCUCUUCUAAUCGGUAAAUACGUGACAUUUUUCACCGAACAAAUGGUGUCACCAAAUUUACAACGCAAAAACAAUAGCUGCCAACACUAAGUCAUGUGUCGGAUAGUUCCUUUCAUGUGGCUUUAACUGUCUGGAAGCAUAACCUAUUACUUUUCCUUCUUGCAUCAAAACACAGCCUAAACAGUUCAGUGUCACAUCACUGAAAAUCACAAAUUCCUUACCUGAUUCAGGUUGAACCAGAACUGGUGCUUCAGUCAACAAUGCUUUCAAGUAGUCAAAACUUUGCUGACAUUUAUCAGACCAUUCAAACUUCACAUCUUUUUGUAACAGCCGUGUCAUCGGCGUAGCUAUCAUUGAAAACCCUUUUACAAAUCUCCGUAAUAACCAGCUAAUCCCAGAAAACUUUUGACUUUAGAUACAUUUCUUAGUGGUUUCUAGUUAAGAAUUGCUGAAAUUUUAUUCAGAUCAACCCUGAUACCUUCAGUCGAUACUAUGUGUCCCAGAAAACUAACUUUUCGAAGGCAAAAAUCACAUUUGCUAAAUUUAGUAAGCAGUUGUUUAUCUCGCAAGGUUUGUAGAACAAUUCUCAAAUGCUCGGUAUGUUCAGUCUCAUCUCGGGAAUAUAUCAAAAUAUCAUCAAUAAAUACCAUGAAAAAUCUAUCUAAUUAUGGUAUAAAAAUUCUAUUCAUCAAAUCCAUAAACAUUGCAGGUGCGGUAGUUAAACCAAAUAGCAUCACAAGAAAUUCAUUAUGCCCGUACCUAGUUCUGAAUGCCGUUUUCGAUACAUCCGAAUCUUUCACUUCUAACUGAUAAUAACUAGAACGAAGAUCAAUUUUUGAGAACACUGUGGCACCUUUCAACUGAUCAAACAAAUCAUCAAUGUAAGGUAGUGGAUAUUUAUUCUUGAUUGUAACUUUGUUGAGUUGACGGUAGUCAAUGCAUAAUCUCAUCGAUCCGUCCUUUUUCUUAACAAAGAGAACCGGUGCACCCCAAGGUGAAAAACUAGGUCGAGUAAAGCCCCUAUCAGUCAACUUUGGCAACUGUGCUUUCAACUUUUUUAACUCAGUAGAAUCCAUUCUGUAUGGUGCUAUCGAUAUCGGUGUUGUUCCCAGUACAAGUUCUAUAUAAAAUUCAACUCUUUUGACCAACAGUAAUCUAGGCAAUUCCUCUAUAAAUGUAUUAGGAUACUCGUAAACCACUGGCACUGACUCAAUCUUCGAUUCAGACAGUUUAGUAUCCAAUACAUAAGCAAGGUAAGCAUUACAACAUUUUCUCACAUAUUUCUGUACUGACAUAGUUGAUAUCACAUUAGACAACCCAUUCAAUUUAUCUGAUUCAAUAUUAAGCAUCUCACCAUUCUGACAUUUCAAUAUGAUAUGCUUUCGUCUACAAUUUACUACAGUAUCAUGCAAAGUUAGGCAAUCCAUGCCCAAUAUCACAUAAAAUGCAUCGAACGAUAAUAACAUCAAAUUAGCUAAAAAACAGUAACUCUGAAUCAUUAACGGAUAGUUCUUGCAAAUUUUAUCAACUAACACAUACUGGCCUAGAGGGUUCGAUACUUUAACCACGAAUUCAGUAGACUCAAUAGGUAAAUUUUUGCUAGACACUAAUUUUAUGCAAACAUAUGAAUGAGUCGAUCUGGGAUCAAUUAAAGCAAUUACAUUAGUAUCAAUAAGAGAGAAAGUAUCGGCAAUAACAUCUGGCACAGAAGCAUCUUCGCGCGCACGAAUAGCAUAAGCCCUAGCUGGUGUUUGUGCCUCAGACCUUACAGUAGAGUCUUUCGUCACACCAUGGCUACCACUCACAUUUCCAGGAUUACGAGAUGGUCUACCUCUCGCAGCUGUGUUGCUCAGCCUCAAAGUUUGGAUAUUAUCUUUUUCAGAUUUAUUCGGGCAAUCUCGAAGAUAGUGGUCAAAGGAAACACAUUUAAAACAAUCUCCACUCUUCAUUCGACACUCACCAAAAUGUAGCUUGUUACAGUGCUUGCACUUGGGUCUGGUGUUUCUAACAUUACCUAUACUUGCUACAUAUGUAGCCUGAGAUUUAGGGCUUGAGUGUCGGAUACCUCUGCCUCUACCGGAGUAUCCUGUAAAAGGAGUAGAACGAUCGUGAUAUUUUUUUUGAUUUCUUCGAUGCUGACUGGUAUGACUUUCCCGUCAAUCUCUUACUUGAAUCUCUAGCUUCAAUUUUAAUUUUUCUUUUCUCUUUAAUCAGCUCUUUAGCUUUAUAUGUUCGAUCAACCAAUACAAAAAAUUCUUUCAACUCGAGGAUCCCGAGUAAUAGUUUUAUAUCUUCGUUGAAGCCAUCUUCAAACUGUUUACACAUUGCAGUUUCAGUCGAAAUACAUUCUCGAGCAUAUUUGCUCAAUUGAACAAAUUCCCGUUCAUAUUAAGAUACAGUCAUACAGCCCUGUUUAGGCUUCAAAAAUUCUUUACGUUUUUGGUCGAGAAACCUUUGACUGAUGUAUUUCUUUUGAAACUCGGUUUGAAAGAAUUCCUAAGUAACCCGUUCUCUUGGAACAACAGAAAUCAAAGUAUUCCACCACUGAUGAGUUGAAUCUUUUAAUAGAUAUAUCGCAUAGUUAAGACAUUCAGCCUGUGAACAAGAUAAUUCAUCAAGAACACUGAUGGUAUUUUCUAACCAGAACUCAGCUCUCUCGGGAUCAUCUUCAGCCGUAGCUCAGAAUUCUUCAGCACCGUACUUACGAUCAACGGGUGGCUUACCAACUCUGAUAGGUUCUGUACUUUGAGGAAUAACGGGAACUGGUUGAGAAACAGGAGUGGGUAGAGGUUGUUGAACAACUGGGUUCGUUGGUACAAACUCUGUGAACCAUUAAUUCAUCAUUUGGAAGAAGGGUUCUUUAGCCUCUUCUCCCUAAUCCUCAGAUACGAGCCUCCUACCACUCGAAGCUACUCCUUGAACGGAGGCUUGAGCGUUACUUUCUACAUCAUCAAAAUCAACUUGGUUGGAUGUUAUUGCUAUUUAAAAACAUGUUUUAAAACGGUCAGGAGAUAUGACAUUAUCACAGGUUAUAUAAUGGCACAUAUAGCUAGACUAGUGUAUGCUACGUUAGUCCGAGAAUCGACUAAAACGUAGCUUUGAUACCAAUAAAUGUAACACCCCUAACUCGUAUCCAUCAACAGAACAAGGUUAUAGAGCAUUAUUGGAGUUUAUAGAACAAAUAGAUAGAAAUUUCAAACAUUUCACAUCAUAUAAUAUUCAUAUCAUAAACUAAUCGAAAUCAAACAUAUUGUCCUUUAUAUGAGCCAUCGAGGCCCAAAAUACGCAUAAGAAACAAGUCGAGACUAAAUCGGAUGCAAAAAUAAUUUUUUGAAAAACACUAAAAUUUUUCAAGCUGCAGGGGUUACACAACGUGUGAUUUAUAAGGCCAAGAGACAUGGCCGUGUCUCAAGUCGUGUGGGUAUUCGAAAUAGGGACACACGGCCAUGUCCUGGCCUGUGUUCGAGCCUAUGUAACUCUUUGAAUUGGGCCGCAUGGCCGAACCACACGCCCGUGUGCUAGGCCGUGUAAGUAUACUGACUUACGAAUUUAGAAGAUAUAGGGGACACACGGCUGAGAUACACGUCCGUGUCUCUACCCAUGUGGAUGAAAAUAGCUCAAAUUCCAAGCCACAUUUCUCACCCAAUUUGACAUCAACCUAACCCUACAUUUUUGCACAUUAACAAGCCAUAACAAGGCAUUGAAAACAAGCCAAAAUCAAGUUUUAAACAUGAAAUAUCAUCACAUACAACCAAUAUGCCCUUAGGCACCUCAAAUGACAACUUAAAAGGAAUAUCAACUAAGUACCUUAACUUACCUAAAUGACCA